rnacentral:rRNA from 1 species
CAGUCGCCACGGGAAUACGGAGGGUGCAAGCGUUAAUCGGAAUUACUGGGCGUAAAGCGCACGCAGGCGGUUUGUUAAGUCAGAUGUGAAAUCCCCGAGCUUAACUUGGGAACUGCAUUUGAAACUGGCAAGCUAGAGUCUUGUAGAGGGGGGUAGAAUUCCAGGUGUAGCGGUGAAAUGCGUAGAGAUCUGGAGGAAUACCGGUGGCGAAGGCGGCCCCCUGGACGAAGACUGACGCUCAGGUGCGAAAGCGUGGGGAGCAAACAGGAUUAGAUACCCGAGUAGUCCCUGUCUCUUAUAC